AAAAGUUAGGCUAGAUUAAGUUCGGUUAAGUUAGGCUCGGUUAGGAAAAUUCCGCACUCACUCUAGUGGUGGACCAACGAUCGGUAUAUUAUAAGCUAGAAUGUACACACAAACUAAACGCAUUCGAAUUUUUUGCUCCAUAAUCGCGGUGGCGAUGGCGUCGCUGUUACGUCACCGACUACGCAGCAAUUUUUCCAAGUCGCAGAAACGAAGGAUUAAGGUUACAAUGGGGCAAUCGGGCUGCUCUAGAUAAGCAGGUUGGCGACGCCACCUUUGUUAUUAAAAUGUGUGUAACACUCCCAGGAAACACGCUCCGCUAAUCCUGUCACCAACUUAGCCCCAUACCCACAGUCGCUCCCCGGCGUUUACCUAAGCGCUGGCCAGCCACGGAUACGCCGGAGGAGCUCAAAAAGACGCACCGGGAGAAAAAAAGAAGGACGCGCACUUUGCACUUGUUUUUCCAUCGGGGAGAGAGCCCACCGGCGGUCGGCGCGCCUUAUAAAACGUCGCCGCGGCCGCGGCUGCAGAGAUACGGAGCGGGGUGGGGUGGGCGCGUCUUAUCGUCGGCGAGUUCCGUGUGGUGACACGAGCCGCUCGCUCUUGAGCCCUUAUCGCACCCUUAUUAUCUGGCGCGACUCAUCUGCUUUGAGGAAGCGCGCCCGGUUGCUUCGACGUGGAUGGCAGCAGGGGCAUCCAGAGCAAGAUCCAGGCCUUUGACUCUAAGAGCGACGACGACGCAAACCAGCCCUGAACAUCGGCGGCCGCAGCCCGGUAUACCCAACUGCCGAGGCCGACGCCGCGUCGCUAUUGGCCUAAUAGCAUCACGUGAGCCCUCGCGCCGUGCAUCAGCGCCAUUUUUGCUCGAGAAGCGUCUACGGAGUGGCGAGGAGCGCAUGUUGGCGCCGUUGCUACGCUCGAGCAGUGUAGGCGGCGCCACGUUCGUGGAGGGAGCGUGAAAGAGAGGAGAAACUAGGAGUGAAGACAAAGGAGGCACCCGUCACCUCCUAUCACAGUACGAGCACUGAUACACCUAAUAACUGACUGUAAUUUGUGAAUAAAUCUUGUGGAACUUCCCACUCAGUGCGCAUGCGCCACUGCAGUGCACACACAAAAAGCAAGAAGUGACAACAUGGUGCACUAUCAACACAGGCAAUGUUUUGCACUGAGUGCUGGCUCUCGUGGUGACAGGUGGAAUGCGAAUGUUGAUUCAUGGCUAUUGGAUUCAUCAGAAGCGUAGCUAUCCCUGUUUGUCAUCUCCGAAGAGCUGGUGCAGCUGACACUGCCACUUAAAAUCUGAAGACAGUGUGACAAUGGUCUGACCCAGUCAUAAAUCGGCUAAGUAUCUGCUCUUCA